rnacentral:rRNA from 1 species
GUGAGGAAUAUUGGUCAAUGGGCGGGAGCCUGAACCAGCCAAGUCGCGUGAAGGAAGAAGGAUCUAUGGUUCGUAAACUUCUUUUGCAGGGGAAUAAAGUGCAGGACGUGUCCUGUUUUGUAUGUACCCUGAGAAUAAGGAUCGGCUAACUCCGUGCCAGCAGCCGCGGUAAUACGGAGGAUCCGAGCGUUAUCCGGAUUUAUUGGGUUUAAAGGGUGCGUAGGUGGUUUGAUAAGUCAGCGGUGAAAGUUUGCAGCUUAACUGUAAAAAUGCCGUUGAAACUGUCGGACUUGAGUGUAAAUGAGGUAGGCGGAAUGCGUGGUGUAGCGGUGAAAUGCAUAGAUAUCUCGCAGAACUCCGAUUGCGAAGGCAGCUUACUAAGCUACAACUGACACUGAAGCACGAAAGCGUGGGGAUCAAACAGGAUUAGAAACCCUGGUAGUCC